UACGGAGGGUGCAAGCGUUGUCCGGAAUCACUGGGCGUAAAGCGCACGUAGGCGGAUUGUUAAGUCAGGGGUGAAAUCCCGAGGCUCAACCUCGGAACUGCCUUUGAUACUGGCAAUCUCGAGUCCGGAAGAGGUGAGUGGAAUUCCUAGUGUAGAGGUGAAAUUCGUAGAUAUUAGGAAGAACACCAGUGGCGAAGGCGGCUCACUGGUCCGGUACUGACGCUGAGGCACGAAAGCGUGGGGAGCAAACAGG
rnacentral:rRNA from 1 species